UGGGGAAUUUUGCACAAUGGGCGAAAGCCUGAUGCAGCAACGCCGCGUGUGUGAUGAAGGUUUUCGGAUCGUAAAGCACUUUCGACCGGAACGAACACCCUGAAGCCAAUACCUUCAGGCCUGACGGUACCGGGAGAAGAAGCACCGGCUAACUCUGUGCCAGCAGCCGCGGUAAUACAGAGGGUGCAAGCGUUGUUCGGAAUUAUUGGGCGUAAAGCGCGUGUAGGCGGCCAUGCAAGUCGGGUGUGAAAUCCCUCAGCUCAACUGAGGAAGUGCGCCCGAAACUGCAAGGCUUGAGUACCGGAGAGGAUGGCGGAAUUCCCCAAGUAGAGGUGAAAUUCGUAGAUAUGGGGAGGAACACCGGUGGCGAAGGCGGCCAUCUGGACGGAUACUGACGCUGAGACGCGAAAGCGUGGGGAGCAAACAGGAUUAGAUACCCCGGUAGUCC
rnacentral:rRNA from 1 species